GGGUCCGGGCUGCUACCCUGUGCAGCUCCGCUGCGGUGCAUCUGGGGCAGGUUUAAUUAAGGCCACCAAAGAGCUCCAAACCACAAAAACGUAAUCGACAUCUUCCACCGCGUGGCAGAUCCCCACUAAAUCCAGCUGAAGAACGGGGCCGUGGCUCAUCUCUCAACGCCUUUGUGAUUAUAGCGUUCGCAAGCGAAACAAGGUGAAACCUUCCUAACAAAAAGAGAAAAGCAGCCUUCCAACUCCAGACUGUGGUCCUUCUCCUUCCGUAAUGAACUGGGAGAUUCAUUCACCCCACAGUUUGAAGGGCAAUACAAAGCAUGGAGCAGAAAACAAAGGCAAGAAAGAUAAGGGAACUGGAUAUUCCAUUUGUGUCUUUGCAGCGUAAGAUGACAGAACUGUGAUUACAGGGCCAAUGCGGAGCCUGUGAACCACUUAAACACCGUUAUGAGGGAGGGACACGGACCACAAACCCAUCGCACUUGGGCCCUUGAAGAGACUAUGGAUGGCCAUCGCUUCAGACUCCAGCUGGGUUCAAGCCGUUUUCCCAAAGGAAAUGCUUCUGUGCUGUUAUCUGUCUCCUGGACUACCUACUCCACAAAUACAAGUUGUUAUUAUUUAUA